rnacentral:rRNA from 1 species
GCCCUACGGGGGGCUGCAGUGGGGAAUCUUAGACAAUGGGCGCAAGCCUGAUCUAGCCAUGCCGCGUGAGCGAUGAAGGCCUUAGGGUUGUAAAGCUCUUUCAGCGAGGAAGAUAAUGACUGUACUCGCAGAAGAAGCCCCGGCUAACUCCGUGCCAGCAGCCGCGGUAAUACGGAGGGGGCUAGCGUUGUUCGGAAUUACUGGGCGUAAAGCGCACGUAGGCGGACUGGAAAGUCAGGGGUGAAAUCCCGGGGCUCAACCCCGGAACUGCCUUUGAAACUCCCAGUCUUGAGGUCGAGAGAGGUGAGUGGAAUUCCGAGUGUAGAGGUGAAAUUCGUAGAUAUUCGGAGGAACACCAGUGGCGAAGGCGGCUCACUGGCUCGAUACUGACGCUGAGGUGCGAAAGCGUGGGGAGCAAACAGGAUUAGAUACCCCGGUAGUC